rnacentral:piRNA from 1 species
UAUAUUUUAAACUUCUAGGCU